CCUACGGGAGGCAGCAGUAGGGAAUAUUGGGCAAUGGGCGCAAGCCUGACCCAGCGACGCCGCGUGCGGGAUGAAGGCCUUCGGGUUGUAAACCGCUUUCAGUAGGGAAGAAGCGAAAGUGACGGUACCUACAAAAGAAGCACCGGCUAACUAUGUGCCAGCAGCCGCGGUAAUACAUAGGGUGCAAGCGUUGUCCGGAGUUAUUGGGCGUAAAGAGCUCGUAGGUCGUUUGUUACGUCGGAUGUGAAAACCUGAGGCUCAACCUCAGGCCUGCAUUCGAUACGGGCAAACUAGAGUUUGGUAGGGGAGACUGGAAUUCCUGGUGUGGCGGUGGAAUGCGCAGAUAUCAGGAGGAACACCAAUGGCGAAGGCAGGUCUCUGGGCCAAUACUGACACUGAGGAGCGAAAGCGUGGGGAGCGAACAGGAUUAGAUACCCUGGUAGUCCACGCCGUAAACGAUGGGCGCUAGUUGUGCGAACCUUCCACGGUUUGUGCGACGCAGCUAACGCAUUAAGCGCCCCGCCUGGGGAGUACGAUCGCAAGAUUAAAACUCAAAGGAAUUGACGG
rnacentral:rRNA from 1 species